rnacentral:lncRNA from 1 species
UGCCUGUGGGACAAGAUGAAGUGAGGUGAAUGAUGUAGGUACUGUGACAGGGCGUUAGGCAACAAAUGAGCUGAUGUGAUGUAUUAGAGGGAGGAUCAACUGCUUCAGGUGACCUGGAUCAUCAAGAUAUGAGGAUGAGGAGUGGACAGUGUUGAUGGUAGGGGAUAAUGGGUGGGGCAGAGAGGUACAGGGCAAGAGUCCUUCAUGCUACUCAGAACCGCACAUUAUUUAAAACAUGAAUUAUUUAUUCUGGGGCUUUCUACUUAACAUCUUUAGACUGCAACUGACUGUAAUAACCAAAACCAUGGAAAGUGAAACUGCAGAUAAAGGCACCUUUGCCUGCAUAUCUCGUGGCUGGCUGCCUCUGUAUGCUGUGGUUCCUUUUUUUGACUUCUUUGACCCAAAGGCAUCUGGAAUCUCUUGAAAGCAUUAAUUACGCCUUCCGCUCUUUGCACGGAGGAGGACCCGUGUGGUCGUCACCAUGGCAGGACAUCUCAGCUCUCUGGGAAAGAGCACUGGACCAGAGCCAGGCGAUGGGGUGCCAGCUUCAGCUCUUGCCUAUACAGCGGUUCUUGGGCAAAUGCCCUAACCAGAGUCUUGGUUUUCUUAUGUUAAAAUUUGGAGAAAC